rnacentral:rRNA from 1 species
UACGGGGGGAGCAAGCGUUGUUCGGAUUUACUGGGCGUAAAGGGCGCGUAGGCGGUCGUGACAAGUCACUUGUGAAAUCUCCGGGCUUAACUCGGAACGGUCAAGUGAUACUGUCGGACUAGAGUACAGAAGGGGCAACUGGAAUUCUCGGUGUAGCGGUGAAGUGCGUAGAUAUCGAGAGGAACACCUGCGGCGAAGGCGGGUUGCUGGGCUGAUACUGACGCUGAGGCGCGAAAGCCAGGGGAGCGAACGGG